UGAGUAGGCAUCCAAAGGGAUCGCAUUGAUCCCGACUCUCCUUCGUCACUACGUUUAGGUUUUGCGAAUCUGGAUCAUGCAAUCCCUUUGGAAUCCUCCUC
rnacentral:pre_miRNA from 1 species